CGGCUUGAUGAUGAUGAUCUUGUGUCCUAUAUCCUUACAGGGCUUGAUGCUGAGUACAAUCCACUAAUUGAAGCUAUUAGUGCAAAAGUUGAUGCAGUUAGCUUGAGCGAUCUGUAUGCUCAGCUAUUGUCCACUAAAGC